rnacentral:lncRNA from 1 species
GGGAAAACUGCAGUGGAAGAUGAGGACAGCAUGGAUGGGCUGGAGACAACAGAAACAGAAACGAUUGUGGAAACAGAAAUCAAAGAACAAUCUGCAGAAGAGGAUGCUGAAGCAGAAGUGGAUAACAGCAAACAGCUAAUUCCAACUCUUCAGCGAUCUGUUUCUGAGGAAUCGGCAAACUCCCUGGUCUCUGUUGGUGUAGAAGCCAAAAUCAGAUCUUAAGGACACAGUAUGCCUG